GGAAUCACAAUUAUCAUCAUCGACACUAGCAAAAGAAAAGAAUGUAUUUGAUUUAUAGCAGCAUGCUAAAGAAGAAAAAGAUGGAUUAAUGUUUCGACAUAGUGAGGGAAGGGUGUUUUUCAAGGUUGGCUCAUAUCUUCUAUCCUUUAUUUCUAAAUCUCGGUUACUGUUCACGGGCCAUUUUUUUUGGGACAACUACAUUUUUCUUUUGUUCUCACACAACACAAUGGCCCAUGUGUCGAUGGCCCAUGUCGUCACACAAUUGCAUCAUCCCCUUCACAGUUCGACGUUGGCAACCAUGUCCGUCAUCAUGCCGCUGCUGGCUUUGGCUUUCCCCCUCCUGCUCCUUUAGGUGCGUUCAGGUUCCAUUGCUGGCAUAUGGAUUCCGUCUUUGGCGAGGUUGCGACGUUUUUUUGGCCGAUGCUCAAGGAUUCCUGAAGAAAGGGAAUGGUUGCAUAUGCAAUCAGUAAUUGUGUGGGUUGAUACAAUUGCUGCUUCUUCCUAUUCGUCAUCACCUUCGUCAUCACUACUUCUUCCCAUGUUCAGUGGCCAUGGCAGUCCUAAAGCAGCGUCACAAGUGCAGUGUGACGUUUUUUGCUUGGCAUCUUCUGCAGAAGCCUCGAAGAAAGGGCAUCCUAUAACCUCCAACCUUUGAAUUUUGUGGGAUGCUCGGUGGUCAUCAUCUCACCUCAUGCUGCCAGAUCCAGCUGUUUCAUUUGCUUUACAGAUGGGUUCCAACCUCUGUGUUUCUAAGGCUCCCCCGCUCACCUAUGUUGUCAUGGUGGUUAUUAUGAGGAGUGAUUCAUGGCUAUCGUAGCUUAUAGUGCUUGGCCAUAUAGAAAAAAGAGACUCAGAAAAGCUCUAUUUUGGCAUGAAAAUUGCACAAGGUGGUCUAUUUUGGCAUCAAAAUUGCUCAUUCAAUAUACUCAGGUAUUCUACUUACAUUGAAUUUGGUCGAAAAACAGGUAACUUAUGAUUCUCUUGAUCGUAGUUGAAAAGCUCUGUACCUUCUUCUUUUAAUAUGUGUAGAAAUUUCUUCAUCAAGUAAUAUGCUAUUGAAGUUUGAUAAGGUCUUAUUUGUGUUUCUACACUUCUUUUAGAAUAUCAAAGGUUAUGUUUUUGUGGGGAUGAGAAAUCGGAUAAACAAUCUUCCUUUGAAUGUCCAGACUCCAGACUAUCAUUGUGAACUUAAAUUGGAAUUGGAAAAUUGUAGAUUUCAGGUCAUCAUCUUGAUAUACAUCUAUGAGACCUUUAUUAGAAUUGUAGAGUUAGAUAGAAAAGAGCUUAUCUAAACUGAAUGUGAAAAAUAUCACUGCAUACUGAAAUGUUAAACCAAGAGGUUUUUAACUUUUAACACUGUCAAUUAGGUUUGUAUCUCAAAGAUUCUCGAAAUAUAGAAGGUUGCUGAGGAACAUCUUUUUUCAUCAUCUUUCUCUCUACAAAAAAAAUUUCUGUUCAUCUUCUUCAAUUGUGGUUCGCAAUAUGGAAAUUGAAAAAUGAAUUUUCGGAAAAAUCAAGGCUUAAAUGUUAGACCUGAUGUAGUUCAUUGAUUUUCAUUGUUUUUAGUUUGUUAUUGGGAAGUAGAGAAGAGGAGAUGAUCUUAGAAAGACUGUCCAAGGCUCUUGAGUUUUUGUUCCCAAUUUCUAGCAUCACAACUUCUAAGGGAUCAUCCAAUCUGUGAAUUUUUUGUCAAUGAUGUCUCACAAUGUGUGACUUUUGUAGGUGAUCAAGUCCUUUUUGAACUCUUUUACUUAUUUGAGUUUCUACAUGUGCCUGCUGUAGCAUGAUAGGAGCAGAUGAAGUGGUUCCUUCAUCAGAAACUUUGAAUCCCUUGCAACCAAGUAUUAGUAUCUGCCAAUAGAAGAUUGACAAGUUGAGAAGAGUCUAAGUUUCAACAACAUAGAAGAAGCCCAAUUGUCUUCGUUGGAUAAUGGAUUCUUGAUUUUUGAGAUGUCUUCGGCGGGCUGAUUCAUGAUGGUUCAUCCUUCGGGGAGAGCUAGAGUUGAGAUGCGGGAAUGAAGCGUAUCGCGGUUGCGAGAGGAGGACGGAUGGUGUACAUAGACUAGGUCGUUCUGGAUUUCAAAUUCGGACGACGAUCAUGCUAGCAUGUAGGUUUUAGUGCUGGUGUGAGCUCCUCGAGAUGGGAUUAGCGUAGGAGUAGAGUCUUAGCUCUGAACAUCAUUUGUUUUCUUUGGGAACAGGGUAGUUUCCCACCUAUAGCUUUUUGUGUGGUUUCUUUACGGGAAUCACAGAGAGUUGGUUGGACAUAGGAGAUCUUGUUUCAGGCCGAUGGGCCAGCUCAUUCUCAGUUUUGAGGGAUGGUGUUGCGGACACUUCACCCUUUUCAUUUGGUUUGUAUAUAUUGCCUACGGGCGCUACACUUUUCUUUCCGUCACUGGAGGUUACUCGUGACGAGGUUGUUACUUACAGCGGGGGCUGUAUUAUAUAUUGUACAUUAGUUCUGUUGCUUUUCGCUUUUGGGUUUUAUCUAUUUCAGUCUUGUCUUAGUUAUUAUAAAAAAAAAAUAUAUUCACGUUUUUCCGCAUUAAGUUUACUUUCGGUUACUAAAGUGACGCCACCGAAAUCGGGGUGUUACAUUGUGGUAUCAGAGCUUGUCGAGUCUUUCGGGAGUUGUUGGGGAAUAGGUCUUCUAUGCUAGGUUGUGUGACUCUGCAAAGAGUGAAAAUUGAUUGUCUGCAAGCGAUUUUUCGCUUAGAAUUGAUUGAAGUUAUUGCUUAAUCAUAUUGUAUAGCAUGUUAGAUGCUAUCUUAUGAUGAGUACUAACUGUUUGAUUGACUUAACAGAACCUAGAUGUUAUCCUAGGAAUGGAUUGGUUGUCUCACUAUCAUUGUCUUUUGGACGAACAAAAGCAAAGGAGCAAGUGGUCGAGCCGGACAGCAUAGAGCUGAAAGAUGAUAUGUUUGUUGAGACGCCGUCGGUCAACAUUGAGACUAGAAGAGUGAAACAAUCGAGGGGAAAGCAGAGUGCUUUAGUAAAAGUUAUUUGGAACGAAGACACGGACGAUGCUAUAUGGGACUUAGAGGAGAAGAUCAAGGAAUAAUAUCCGGAGCUUUUACUGAACCCUAAGUUUCGAGGACGAAACUUUCUUUUUGGAGGGUAGUAAUGUAAGACCCAAGUUUUUAAGCUUGGAAUAAGUGGAAGAGACUUCUAUUCACGAUUAGGCUUGACGUAUCGUGAAGGAAAACCUGAACAAGAGUUUAUCGAAUGGAAUAAAUUUAUGAAAGAGAAAGUUCAGGAAAAGUCUAAGGAUUGUAUCGAAGUCGAUUUAAGUUAUAGCACGACUAAUAUCCGUUUUAAAACCUAGGACAAGAACCUUAGGAAAUCAAACUAUGUUCCACCCUUGGAACACUGUAGGAAUUUAGUCCAAAAAUCUUCAGAGAAAUGUUAGAAUUGCAUAUUGGUUGACUGGGUUAACCUGCAUAUCAUUUCAUGCAACAUGCAUGCUGA